rnacentral:rRNA from 1 species
GUGGGGAAUAUUGGACAAUGGGCGAAAGCCUGGUCCAGCCAUGCCGCGUGUGUGAAGAAGGUCUUCGGAUUGUAAAGCACUUUAAGUUGGGAGGAAGGGCAGUAAGUUAAUACCUUGCUGUUUUGACGUUACCGACAGAAUAAGCACCGGCUAACUUCGUGCCAGCAGCCGCGGUAAUACGAAGGGUGCAAGCGUUAAUCGGAAUUACUGGGCGUAAAGCGCGCGUAGGUGGUUUUGUAAGUUGGAGGUGAAAUCCCCGGGCUCAACCUGGGAACUGCCUCCAAAACUGAAUGACUAGAGUACGGUAGAGGGUAGUGGAAUUUCCUGUGUAGCGGUGAAAUGCGUAGAUAUAGGAAGGAACACCAGUGGCGAAGGCGACUACCUGGACUGAUACUGACACUGAGGUGCGAAAGCGUGGGGAGCAAACAGGAUUAGAUACCCCGGUAGUCC